UCGUCGCUGCGUGCGUGCCUGUUAUCUGCACUGCAACCUCGCCUUUGAAAGGACGACAACCUUGCUUUUUAAUUACAAGUUGAAUGUUUGCUUAAGACGAUGGACACAUUGCAAAUGGCGGCAGAAGUGGAUCGGCUACAUCGGUGAAGCGACGAUUUAUAUUACAAGCGAGGCUAAUUGUAUUCUUUCGUUAUAGGUGAAUGUGGGACUGUAUCGACUGCAAGGACGUGAGUUACAAAAACGUGUAAUAUUGUAGCAUUAACGUUUGAACAAUACCAGCGCGAUGUUCACUUCGGUUUCUUUACAGGUAGUGUCCUAUCUCAACGGUCACGCAUAUGCGUGCAAAACUGCAACUGCUUGUCACAUCGAAGAGGGGUCUGGUGCCACAUGCUCGGACAAUUAUUCGUCGGCCAUUUCGUUUGAGGAACUGUCGUGUUCGUCAUUAAGGAUGAUCUUGGUUGAGCUUUGCAGUGCCAGCCUGGUGCAUCGGAGGGGUUGUGUCCAUGCAACGUGUGCUCCAUAUGUGUGUGUUGGGAUUAGUGAACCGUGUAUGCUUUCCAUUCGGCCAACGAUGAUGUACUGGAUGAAAUUUAAAGGUAUGUGCACGCCAAUAAACUUUGUUGUUUCAA